UACGUAGGCAGCGAGCGUUGUUCGGAGUUACUGGGCGUAAAGAGUGCGUAGGCGGUUUUCUAAGUUUGGUGUGAAAUCUCCCGGCUCAACUGGGAGGGUGCGCCGAAGACUGGAAGGCUUGAGUAUGGGAGAGGUAAGCGGAAUUCCUGGUGUAGCGGUGAAAUGCGUAGAUAUCAGGAGGAACACCUGCGGUGUAGACGGCUUACUGGACCAUAACUGACGCUGAGGUACGAAAGCGUGGGUAGCAAACAGG
rnacentral:rRNA from 1 species